rnacentral:rRNA from 1 species
UACAGAGGGUGCGAGCGUUGUCCGGAAUCACUGGGCGUAAAGGGCGCGUAGGCGGCUUGGUAAGCGUGCGGUGAAAGCCCGGGGCUCAACCCCGGGUCGGCCGUGCGAACUGCUGGGCUGGAGCACUGUAGAGGCAGGUGGAAUUCCGGGUGUAGCGGUGGAAUGCGUAGAGAUCCGGAAGAACACCGGUGGCGAAGGCGGCCUGCUGGGCAGUAGCUGACGCUGAGGCGCGACAGCGUGGGGAGCAAACAGG